rnacentral:rRNA from 1 species
UACGGGGGGUGCGAGCGUUGUCCGGAAUCACUGGGCGUAAAGGGCGCGUAGGUGGUUUGAUAAGGGUGUGGUGAAAGUCCGGGGCUCAACCCCGGAUCUGCCGUGCCGACUGUCAAACUCGAGGGCUGUAGAGGCAGACGGAAUUCCGGGUGUAGCGGUGGAAUGCGUAGAGAUCCGGAAGAACACCGGUGGCGAAGGCGGCCUGCUGGGCAGUAGCUGACACUGAGGCGCGACAGCGUGGGGAGCAAACAGG